ACGAGAUGGUACUAAAUAACAUCUCGCAAAAAUAAACGGUCACUUAGACCAAACGGGUCGAAUGGUGAAAAUAUCACCAUUUGAAAAUAUCGACUAACGAAUAUUGUCGAGUUGUGUGUUCACAGGAGUAAAUACGGAAGGAUAACUUGUAUCGCUAUUAAGUAGCGAAUAUUAAAGCAAGGUAUAAAAAAUGGUCAAUAUAAUGACUCUAGCCAGGUACGCAUAAGUGGACUUAUAGUUAAAAGUGCAAAGAAGGUCAAAUAUCUAGCCGAAAUCCUUCAUUUCAAAAAUGAAGGAUUAAAUGUGACCAAAGAGCCCUUAAUAGGUAAACAAUGUAAACGACCCUUAGAGGUUGUUUAGAAACUUAUAUUAUGAGUUUGUAACCCUUAGAUGUGCAUAAAAGUUCUAGGCAAAAACAUUUGUGGGUCGAACGCCUAGAAAUAGUCAACUGCGGAAAAAUGACCAACCGAUGGGUAAAAUUAGGAAAAAGGGGUUCAUAUGUUAAAUCCACCACAAAAUAGUUGUGGUGGAAUAUUUGUAGUUAAUUAGACAUGGAAAUUUUGUAGCAUCAAAAGAAAAGCACAAGUUAUAGACUAAAAUGCGUAAAUACCCUUAAUGGGUCAAAAUAGAAGUAUUAGCAAAACGGGUUAAAGAUGUGUAGUAACCCGUGAAUUGAACCUUGUACAAUAAGAAAUAAUCAUAAUAAUAUGUUUACAGAAGAAUCAAGGGCCAUAAACAAGUUUGUUAGAUGAAACCACGAACGGGUCAAGAAGUGUCAUAAUUGAACUUCAAGCUGAGAGCUUGAAGUCUAAAAUUUUAUUAUGAAGGAUGUUAGAUUUUAACUCCAUUAGACGGAGAAUUAAAUUACGGUCGCAUAGGAAAAAGAAUCGCGUAAAACGGAUAAGUAGAAUGAAAGUUAUGGCACUUUAAAGUUCGUAUUUCGACUAAAACCAUAGCUGGGCUAAUAUGCAGGUUUCAGCAACAAACCUGUUGGAAAUUGGUUUCCCUCGUGGCACGCGACGGAGGACGUAGAUGGGGUCGCGACACGCGGCAAUUCGGGAUGGGUCUCCCGCGACUCGCGGGAGACAUCAAAGUGAAUGCCAAGAUGCUCCGGAUAAAGAUCAAGCUCACCAAAGAACCGAACACGAUCAAGAAAUAAGCUUCCGCACUAAGUAUCGUUGUUAUGUUAAAUGACGAACUCACACAUGUUAUGUUGUAUAGAUUUUAAUUCUGUAAAAAGUUUAAUGAAACCCAUAUUUUCAAUGUAUUUGAAAUCAUAAUUACCCGUUUAUUUUUCGUAAA